rnacentral:rRNA from 1 species
ACUCCUACGGGAGGCAGCAGUAGGGAAUAUUGGUCAAUGGGCGAAAGCCUGAACCAGCCAUGCCGCGUGUCAGAUGAAGGUCCUCUGGAUUGUAAAUGACUUUUCUACGGGAAGAAUGAGCCGUCUGCGGACGGAAGUUGACGGUACCGUAGGAAUAAGCACCGGCUAACUACGUGCCAGCAGCCGCGGUAAUACGUAGGGGUGCAAGCGUUGUCCGGAUUUACUGGGUUUAAAGGGUACGUAGGCGGUUGUGCCAAGUCUGGGGUGAAAGUUUGCAGCUCAACUGUAAAAUUGCCUUGGAUACUGGUCGGCUAGAGUAGUGGAGCGGUGGCUGGAAUUUAUAGUGUAGCGGUGAAAUGCUUAGAUACUAUGAGGAACACCAAUUGCGAAGGCAGGUCACUGGUCACUAACUGACGCUGAGGUACGAAAGUGUGGGGAUCAAACAGGAUUAGAUACCCUGGUAGGAUAGCG